rnacentral:tRNA from 1 species
CGUGGCAAUCGCCGAGCAACACGCGGUGACCUUUGCCGCCGGUCUGGCGAUUGGUGGGUUCAAACCCAUUGUCGCGA